rnacentral:lncRNA from 1 species
UGACUGCAUAUUUGAGUGUAUGAUUCAGAGUUCUAGCACAUCAAAUUACUCUCUUUAAUUAAAUCUUAGAAAAAACAGGAAAAAAGGAGAAAGCUCAUGAGAAGACAUCUGUCCCUGAAAUUAAAAAAGCAGAUAAAAAAGAAGCUGCUGUAUCCAAAGAACUCAAAAAGCCAGCAAAAGCUCCUGCAGCCAACCCAGCCAUCAAAAAAACAGCAGCACCAGGUAAAGAAAAAUGUUUGCCUGCAAUUUCUUGUACUUGUGAACCAGUUUAUUGCAUCAUAGCACCAUCUGCUGGAUUGCACAUAAACCAGUGGUUCUUGUCAGUUUUGGUAUGAUUUUUUU